CCUACGGGUGGCAGCAGUGGGGAAUAUUGCACAAUGGGGGGAACCCUGAUGCAGCGACGCCGCGUGUGUGAAGGAGUGCUUCGGCAUGUAAAGCCCUAUCGGCAGGGAAGAAGCAAGACGGUACCUGACUCAGAAGCCCCGGCUAACUACGUGCCAGCAGCCGCGGUAAUACGUCGGGGGCGAGCGUUAUCCGUAUUCACUGGGUGUAAAGGGAGCGUAGACGGCCAUGCAAGCCCGGGGUGAGAGCCCGGGGCACAACCCCGGGACUGCCCUUGGAACUGCAUGGCUGGCGUGCGGGAGGGGAAGGCGGAAUUCCUGGUGUAGCGGUGAAAUGCGUAGAGAUAAGGAGGAACACCGGUGGCGAAGGCGGCCUGCUGGACCGCGACUGACGUUGAGGUUCGAAAGCGUGGGGAGCGAACAGGAUUAGAUACCCGGGUAGUC
rnacentral:rRNA from 1 species